CCCUUAGAUGUUCUGGGCAGCACGCGCGCUACAAUGGUCUUCGCAAACGGAUGCAUUCUCGAAGGAGAAUGCCAAUCUUGGAAUCUAUGCCUUGGUCGGGACAGUUGCUUGCAAUUUUUCGACUCGAACCAGGAAUUCCUUGUAAUCGUGAUUCAUCACAUCACGAUGAAUACGUCCCUGCCCUUUGUACACGCCGCCCGUCGCUCCUACCGAUCGAAGAGUUAGGUGAAUUGUUUUGAUCGAUAAGAUUUGACUAUGGUCAACUCUCGUUGGGAAAUUCUGUGAAUCUGACUGUUUAGAGGAAGGAAAAGUCGUAACA
rnacentral:rRNA from 1 species